GCCGGUGUGGCAUAGUGGUUUGAGUACUGGACUGCAACUUUGGAGACUAAGCUUCGAUUCCCAGCUCAGCCA